UGACGGUACCUCGAAAGGAAGCACCGGCUAACUCUGUGCCAGCAGCCGCGGUAAUACAGAGGGUGCGAGCGUUGUCCGGAAUUACUGGGCGUAAAGGGCGCGUAGGCGGCUUGAUAAGUAGGGGGUGAAAUCUCACGGGUGGGGCGGGAGGCUGCCUUCUAGACUGUCAGGCUUGAGCACGGUAGAGGCAGAUGGAAUUCCCGGUGUAGCGGUGGAAUGCGUAGAUAUCGGGAGGAACACCAGUGGCGAAGGCGGUCUGCUGGGCCGAUGCUGACGCUGAGGCGCGACAGCGUGGGGAGCAAACAGGAUUAGAUACCCUGGUAGUCCACGCCGUAAACGAUGGGCACUAGGCGUCGGGGGGAGCGACCCUCCCAGUGCCGUAGCUAACGCUCUAAGUGCCCCGCCUGGGGAGUACGGCCGCAAGGCUGAAACUCAAAGGAAUUGACGGGGGCCCGCACAAGCGGUGGAGCCUGUGGUU
rnacentral:rRNA from 1 species